CUUCCUUUAUAUACUUGUAUGUCCGAUGAUACACGAUUACGUCUCUCACAGUUGAAGAGUACCUAUGAUAAAAAUUACAGACCUCUACAUGCUUUGGCACACAGAGAUGUCACCUGAUGUCCUUGAUUCUUCAGUCCAAAAUGUCCAAUUACUGUAGUCCUCAAUCUGACAUUUCAUUACUCCCACCCACCAACCACCCUAGCUCAGGAGCUCAGAGGUUUCUGGGAAGGCCUCUAUGGGUACCAGUUCGCGGUUGCAUGUACAGGAAGUGUGUGUGUCCGUCCAACAAUAGCCUCCUUAGAACUGUGGAACCUUCAGGGAGGUAACUCAGUGAUGUAGAGGGACAGAGGCUGAAAAAAACUCAAAUGUGAUGACACCACAAAUAUUUGUAGUAAACAUAUGUCUUUGUUUCGAGUUACAAAGUCCCGC
ensembl:lncRNA